GAUUGAGUUUGAUCCUGGCUCAGGACGAACGCUGGCGGCGUGCUUAACACAUGCAAGUCAAGGGGACCCGCAAGGGUAACCGGCGAACGGGUGCGUAACACGUGAGCAAUCUGCCUAGAUGUGGGGGAUAGCCGGCCCAACGGCCGGGUAAUACCGCAUACGCUCUCCGACUGGCAUCGGUUGGAGAGGAAACUUUCGAGGCAUCUAGAGGAGCUCGCGGCCUAUCAGCUAGUUGGUGGGGUAACGGCCUACCAAGGCGGUGACGGGUAGCUGGUCUGAGAGGAUGACCAGCCACAUUGGGACUGAGAUACGGCCCAGACUCCUACGGGAGGCAGCAGUGGGGAAUAUUGCGCAAUGGCCGAAAGGCUGACGCAGCGACGCCGCGUGGGGGAUGAAGCAUUUCGGUGUGUAAACCCCUGUUGCUCGGGACGAACAAGCCUUUUCGAGGGCUCUGACGGUACCGAGUGAGGAAGCACCGGCUAACUCCGUGCCAGCAGCCGCGGUAAUACGGAGGGUGCGAGCGUUGUCCGGAAUCACUGGGCGUAAAGGGCGCGUAGGCGGUCUGCUAAGCGUGUGGUGAAAGCUCGGGGCUCAACCCCGAGUCGGCCAUGCGAACUGGUGGACUAGAGCACUGUAGAGGCAGGUGGAAUUCCGGGUGUAGCGGUGGAAUGCGUAGAGAUCCGGAAGAACACCGGUGGCGAAGGCGGCCUGCUGGGCAGUAGCUGACGCUGAGGCGCGAU
rnacentral:rRNA from 1 species